rnacentral:hammerhead_ribozyme from 1 species
AUCCAUCUGAUCAGUCCUAAAUAGGACGGAGUGACGCGCGUCCUGGAA